UACAGAGGUCCCAAGCGUUGUUCGGAUUCACUGGGCGUAAAGGGUGCGUAGGCGGUCGGGUAAGUCUGAUGUGAAAUCUCACAGCUUAACUGUGAAACUGCAUUGGAUACUAUCCGGCUAGAGGAAUGGAGGGGAGACUGGAAUACUUGGUGUAGCAGUGAAAUGCGUAGGUAUCAAGUGGAACACCAGUGGCGAAGGCGAGUCUCUGGACAUUUCCUGACGCUGAGGCACGAAAGCCAGGGGAGCAAACGGG
rnacentral:rRNA from 1 species